rnacentral:miRNA from 10 species
GAGGCAGGAGAAUUGCUUGAACCCAGGAGGUGGAGGUUGCAGUGAGCCGAGAUCGUGCCACUGCACUCCAGCCUGGGUGACAGAGCGAGACUC